AUUGAACGCUGGCGGCAGGCCUAACACAUGCAAGUCGAACGAGUGGCGGACGGGUGAGUCAUGUAUGGGCAACUGCCUGAUGGAUGGGGAUAACUACUGGAAAUGGUUGCUACUACCGCAUACCAUCGGAUGUGCCCAGAUGGGAUGAGCUAGUGGGUGGGGUAACGGCUCACCUAGGCGACGAUCCCUAGUUGGACUGAGAGGAUGACAAGCAACACGGGAACUGAGACAGGGUCCAGACUCCUACGGAGGGCGGCGGUGUGGAUUAUGGAACAAUGGCGGCAGGCCGAGUGCAGCCAGGCCGGGUGGGUGAAGAAGGCCUCGGGUUGUAAAGCACUUUAAGCGGGGAGGCGUUACCCGCAGAAGAAGCACCGGCUAACUCCGUGCCAGCAGCCGCGGUAAUUC
rnacentral:rRNA from 1 species